rnacentral:rRNA from 1 species
UGGGGAAUAUUGCACAAUGGAGGGAACUCUGAUGCAGCGACGCCGCGUGAACGAAGAAGGCUUUCGAGUCGUAAAGUUCUUUUAUAUGGGAAGAUAAUGACGGUACCAUAUGAAAAAGCCCCGGCUAACUACGUGCCAGCAGCCGCGGUAAUACGUAGGGGGCUAGCGUUGUCCGGAAUCACUGGGCGUAAAGGGUUCGCAGGGGGAAAUGCAAGUCAGGUGUAAAAGGCAGUAGCUUAACUACUGUAAGCAUUUGAAACUGCAUAUCUUGAGAAGAGUAAAGGUAAGUGGAAUUUUUAUUGUAACGGUGAAAUGCGUAGAUAUUAAAAAGAAUACCGGUGGCGAAGGCAGGUUACUUGGCUCAUUCUGACGCUGAGGAACGAAAGCGUGGGUAGCAAACAGG